rnacentral:rRNA from 1 species
GAUGAACGCUGGCGGCGUGCCUAACACAUGCAAGUCGAGCGAAGCGGGGACGGGUGAGUAACACGUGGAUAACCUCCCAUAUGGCUGGGAUAACCUAGGGAAACCGGAGCUAAACCGGAUACUGAUCGCUUGAUCCGCGCGGCAUUAGCUAGUUGGUGAGGUAACGGCUUACCCAGGCAACGAUGCAUAGCCGUCCUGAGAGGGUGAGCGGCCACACUGGAACUGAGACACUGUGCAGACGCCUACGGGAGGCAGCAGUGGGGAAGCUGCCGCAAUGGGCGAAAGCCUGACGGAGCCAUGCCGCGUGAGUGAGGAAGGCCUUCGGGUUGUAAAGCUCUGUUAUUAGGGAAGCGGUACCUGAUCAAAAAGCGACGGCUAACUACGUGCCAGCAGCCGCGGUAAUAC